GAUGAACGCUGGCGGCGCGCCUAACACAUGCAAGUCGAACGAAGCUUGACGGAUGAUUUCUUCGGAAUGAAACCAGAUAUGACUUAGUGGCGGACGGGUGAGUAACACGUGAGCAACCUGCCUUUCGGAGGGGGAUAACGGCUGGAAACGGUCGCUAAUACCGCAUGAUGUGUUCGGAUGGCAUCAUCUGAACAUCAAAGAUUUAUCGCUGAAAGAUGGGCUCGCGUCUGAUUAGAUAGUUGGUGGGGUAACGGCCUACCAAGUCUACGAUCAGUAGCCGGACUGAGAGGUUGAACGGCCACAUUGGGACUGAGAUACGGCCCAGACUCCUACGGGAGGCAGCAGUGGGGAAUAUUGCACAAUGGGGGAAACCCUGAUGCAGCAACGCCGCGUGAAGGAUGACGGUUUUCGGAUUGUAAACUUCUUUUCUUAGUGACGAAGACAGUGACGGUAGCUAAGGAAUAAGCAUCGGCUAACUACGUG
rnacentral:rRNA from 1 species